CAUAACCCUUUGUUGUCCGACUCUGUUGCCUCCGGGGCGACCCUGCCUUCGGGCGGGGGCUCCGGGUGGACACUUCAAACUCUUGCGUAACUUUGCAGUCUGAGUAAACUUAAUUAAUAAAUUAAAACUUUUAACAACGGAUCUCUUGGUUCUGGCAUCGAUGAAGAACGCAGCGAAAUGCGAUAAGUAAUGUGAAUUGCAGAAUUCAGUGAAUCAUCGAAUCUUUGAACGCACAUUGCGCCCCCUGGUAUUCCGGGGGGCAUGCCUGUUCGAGCGUCAUUUCACCACUCAAGCCUCGCUUGGUAUUGGGCAUCGCGGUCCGCCGCGUGCCUCAAAUCGACCGGCUGGGUCUUCUGUCCCCUAAGCGUUGUGGAAACUAUUCGCUAAAGGGUGUUCGGGAGGCUACGCCGUAAAACAACCCCAUUUCUAAGGUUGACCUCGGAUCAGGUAGGGAUACCCGCUGAACUUAAGCAUAUC
rnacentral:rRNA from 1 species